GCCAAAUGUGGAGCCUAUGUGGGGCUCAUCUCACGACCCUGAGAUCAUGACCUGAGCUGAAACCAGAAGUCCAACACUUAACUGAUUGACUGAGCCAGCCAGGUGCUCCUCAUGUGAGUGUUUCUUUAUGACUUCUGAGUUAGAAAAUAAAGAACUCACUUAAAAGCUCUCUGCUUCUUUUUGUCUCUUAGAAAUAAGAGUUUUUUCUCAAUGACUAACUUAUUUUUUACUUUGAGGGUUGGAAGAAAGAAGUGUGUCUCUGUAUCUCUUUGGCCAGGAAUUCCCCCAAACAAAGCUUUUUUCAAAGCAUGCCACUAUCAAGCAUCCCCAGGCAUUCGAGGGAGAAAGAAGCCCUCUUUCUUUGUCCUGUGGAUAUAGAUUCAACAGAUACUUGACGCUGAAUGGAAGGGAGAGUGGAAGACUUGCCAGCAGUACAGGCUGCCUUAUUCACCUUUGCACUUCAGCAUUUAAGAGGAGAAUCAACACAUGUUAAUUCUUUG